UGGCGAACGGGUGAGUAACGCGUGAGGAACCUGCCUCAAAGGGGGGGACAACAGUUGGAAACGACUGCUAAUACCGCAUAAGCCCACGGGUCGGCAUCGACCUGAGGGAAAAGGAGCAAUCCGCUUUGAGAUGGCCUCGCGUCCGAUUAGCUAGUUGGUGAGGUAACGGCCCACCAAGGCGACGAUCGGUAGCCGGACUGAGAGGUUGAACGGCCACAUUGGGACUGAGACACGGCCCAG
rnacentral:rRNA from 1 species